UACAUGUGGGGCAAGCGUUGUUCGGAAUUACUGGGCAUAAAGGGUGCGUAGGUGGUUUGUUAAGUCAGGGGUGAAAUCCCGCGGCCCAACCGUGGAACUGCCUUUGAUACUGGCGAACUUGAGUGCGUGAGGGGUAGGGGGAACGAGCAGUGUAGCGGUGAAAUGCGUAGAGAUCGGAAGGAACACCAACGGCGAAAGCACUCUGCUGGGCCGACACUGACACUGAGAGACGAAAGCUAGGGGAGCGAAUGGG
rnacentral:rRNA from 1 species